rnacentral:rRNA from 1 species
CAGUCGCCGCGGUAAAACGAAGGGUGCAAGCGUUACUCGGAAUUACUGGGCGUAAAGGGCUCGCAGGCGGUUUCUUAAGUCUGAUGUGAAAGCCCCCGGCUCAACCGGGGAGGGUCAUUGGAAACUGGGAAACUUGAGUGCAGAAGAGGAGAGUGGAAUUCCACGUGUAGCGGUGAAAUGCGUAGAGAUGUGGAGGAACACCAGUGGCGAAGGCGACUUUCUGGUCUGUAACUGACGCUGAGGAGCGAAAGCGUGGGGAGCGAACAGGAUUAGAUACCCCCGUAGUCCCUGUCUCUUAUAC